GAUCCUGGCUCAGAAUCAACGCUGGCGGCGUGCCUAACACAUGCAAGUCGAACGAGAAAGUGGUAGCAAUACCAUGAGUAAAGUGGCGCACGGGUGAGUAACACGUGACUAACCUACCCUGGAGUGGGGGAUAACUGAGGGAAACCUUAGCUAAUACCGCAUAAUACCCACGGGUCAAAGGAGCAAUUCGCUCCAGGAGGGGGUCGCGGCCGAUUAGUUAGUUGGCGGGGUAAUGGCCCACCAAGACGAUGAUCGGUAUCCGGCCUGAGAGGGCGCACGGACACACUGGAACUGAAACACGGUCCAGACUCCUACGGGAGGCAGCAG
rnacentral:rRNA from 1 species